rnacentral:misc_RNA from 1 species
UCUCCGUUGGUGAACCAGCGGAGGGAUCAUUACCGAGUGCAAACUCAUAACCCUUUGUGAACCUAUAUCUGUUGCUUCGGCGGCUCGCUCUCGGGCGAGCCCGCCGGUAAUAUCAGUAUCUCUGUUUGAACCCGAUGAUACUUCUGAGUGUUCUUAGCGAACAGUUAAAACUUUUAACAACGGAUCUCUUGGCUCUAGCAUCAAUGAAGAACGCAGC